AUUCUUCAUGGAGAUGGUGGUUAAGCAUUGGAAUGGGCAGCCCAUGGUAGACAUGCAGUUCUCGUCCCAGGAGGUAUUUAUGUGUUGUGUGAUGUGGCACUAAGGGACCUGGUAGGUCAGGCUGAUGGUUGGACUUGGUGAUCCUUAAGGUCUUUGCUGACCAAGAUGAGUCUAUGAUAGGAGAAAUAGGAACUGGGAACAACUCCUAAAUACCAUAGUGUAUAGUAACAGGGACACAUAGUCAUGCAUUGAGUCUACUAGGUAUGGAAGUCGUGCCUUUCUGACAUAACUUCUCUAUUACAAUUUCCUUUCCUGAUCUUGCCUACUGUAGUGGAAUUCCAGGGUCACAGCCUGAACCAACACAUGAACAUGUGAUGGCUUGUAGAGACACCCUUUCUGUCUCAGCAAUGCUUCUGGGAGCAUGUGUGCAGUCUGAGUCUGCAUGGGUUCCCCUUCCCCCUACCCUUUCCUUCUGCAAUGUGAGAGUACAAACAGGAGAAAGCUCCAUUCCUCAGCUCACCCCUUUCUCCAAACUGUUACUGGGAGAGGUUCAGAGGCCAGUGGAAAGAAAAAGAAUACAUCAGAGAUGAUCAACAUGCUUGUUACAUCUGCAACUCAACCUAUCAACCAAACAUAUUAUUACAGGCAUGCAAUAAGCUAGGAACAACAACUGGCUGACCAGCACAGCCACUUCCCAGCUUUAAUAAGGCUGAAAACUGACUAGGGGUGGGGGAAUAUGUUUUUUGGCUAAACCCCUUCUGUCUGCUAAUGCCCAGGUCUCCCUAGUGCCAGCCCAAAUGGACGGGCAGCCCCUGCAGCUAUGCCAUUAUGGAGGAGCACCCCAGUGAGCAGCAUGACCAUGUGACCAGGUGCUGGGUUGAUUCAGCAUCUCUUGAAGAGUUGUUCUUCACUCUGCUCUUCCUAGCCCUCUUUUUUGUUUUGCUUAUCUGCCUUAGAAGCGCUACCAAAUAAGCUCCUCUCUUUUGUUGCCUGACCAAGCAUGCAGACAGAAGAGCACCAGUAUGCACAAGGCAGCAGCAAAGAGAAGCAGAAGAGGAGGAACAUUUUUCAUGAUUAAUGAGCCAUAGGAGAAGUCUGACUGAACCAAAACUGCACACUCCUUUAUCUCCCUCCUCCAGCAGCAGGCCUCCACUUUCAUGCUUGGUUUGGCAUUUGCCCGAGUGAACAUUGUAGCAGAUUAAAUUAGUUAACCUAGAAGAACGUUCAUCUGUUUUACAGGGUUUUCCUUUCCCUGACAGAAUAGUGAGAGUCAUCGCCUAAUCACAGGUUGAGAGAGGAGAUGCUGAUUGACUUAAAGCGAGGGGCCAGCACUAGGUAAUCUGUGGGCAUGAAAACACGGGUAGAUCCAGACAAAGGAGUUGGCUGUCUCAGACUGCUCUCUCCAGUACCCAAAGCACCAAGGGGAACAGACAAAGCAGAUUUCUAUUGAAAACAGCACAUUACACCGGGAGGGAAGUUUGUUUAAAGGAACAUAAUUUGAAAUGCAAAGUACACCUUGUCAAAGGUUCUGUCUGUGUCAGGAAUGCAUCUACAAGUCCAUCUAGAUGGGGAGACAUGGGCAUUCAGAUUUAAGCUAAGUGUAACCAGAUUAAGUGCAACUAUUCUGUUUCUCCAAGCAUCUGUUGUUUAUAUGGGUAGCUACUCAGUACUAUGAGAGGUAUUCCGCAUGUAGAGUUCACUUGGCAUGAAUUUAGGAAGAUUGUAUAGUAACUGAUCAAACACUCAAAAUGAAGGUGAACCAUGUACUGUGGACCUUAAGCACCUAUUGUCAUAGUUUUAUGAUCAUCAGUAUUGCACAUCAUUACAUCACGUAGCAUACUGGUUAUUUAUGGGCCAAGCCAGCCCAUAAACUGUCGACACCUAUGGAACAUUCUCUAUACAUGGGUAACAGAACAGGUUUUACAGCAACUGAAUGAGUAAGGCUGAGAGCUGGUAUCAUAAGAAUCAUCAAAAGAAGAGGAUGUUCCAGAGAUCAGAGGUAACCAAAAAAGCAGUCCAGCAUGAAGUACAGAUAGGAAAGUGUGUCUGACCACGGAGGACCCACAUUAUAACUACCACUA